GUCGCGUGUUCGUUCCACGCUCACCGCACCA
rnacentral:misc_RNA from 1 species